ACCUUAAUGAAAAAUAAUAAUGCUGAAAAACAAACCAGAUAUUUACCUGUUCCUUGCACUCAGGGAACAGGCAAUGUUGAGGGAUACCUGGGGUCCUCGAAGCACCUGUUAGCAGUUUGGCUAGUGGUUUCAAGAAAAGCCGCAGCAGGGAUGGACUCGAUACAGAGGAACGCACUGUUAUGAUCAGAAGCAGACACAGACGGCAGCCUCACCACGGGAACCAAGACGCACAACUCGAUGACACUUCUGAGCCAAUGAGCACAGCACUGAUGACUGGAGGGCAUGCAUAUAAGAUGCUCCUGUUUAACAUCUGACUUCCUCCAGCCAUGGAGCGAGAACAUAAAGAUCUGCCUUCCAAAACAGUAGCAUAAACCUGAACCAGAGUUUGGGAAGUAAUGGCUUACUAGUAUAGUGCUACAGUAAUAAUAUUA
rnacentral:lncRNA from 1 species